CACGUAGGGGGCGAGCGUUGUCCGGAUUCAUUGGGCGUAAAGAGCUCGUAGGCGGCUCAGUAAGUCGGGGGUGAAACCCUCAGGCUCAACCUGGGGACGCCACUCGAUACUGCUGUGGCUAGAGUCCAGUAGGGGAGUGUGGAAUUCCCGGUGUAGCGGUGAAAUGCGCAGAUAUCGGGAGGAACACCAGCGGCGAAGGCGGCGCUCUGGGCUGGUACUGACGCUGAGGAGCGAAAGCGUGGGUAGCAAACAGG
rnacentral:rRNA from 1 species